UACGUAGGGUCCGAGCGUUGUCCGGAAUUAUUGGGCGUAAAGGGCUCGUAGGCGGUCUGUCGCGUCGGGAGUGAAAACCAGGUGCUUAACACCUGGCCUGCUUCCGAUACGGGCAGACUAGAGGUACUCAGGGGAGAAUGGAAUUCCUGGUGUAGCGGUGAAAUGCGCAGAUAUCAGGAGGAACACCGGUGGCGAAGGCGGUUCUCUGGGAGUAUCCUGACGCUGAGGAGCGAAAGUGUGGGGAGCGAACAGG
rnacentral:rRNA from 3 species